GUAUUAUUUAUAUUAUAUUUAUAAUUGUAUCAUUAUUAACGUAUUUAAUCGUUACUUCGAAAAUGUAUAUAUAUUUUUCAAUACGAUGAAAGUUAAAUUAUCAAACUGAUAAUCGAAUCGAUGAUAAUAUUCGAUUUAUUUGAACUAGAAGAGUAUUAUCGACACACAGUGUGAUGCACGAUAUCGACGAUUGAGCAUAAGUUUAUUGAAGAAAUAUUUAAAAUAUCAAUUUUGGAUAGAAUUUCGAAAUUUAACAUGUGUUUAUUUGUGAAAAAUAAAAAUCUCGUUUUAACGUGUUCAAAUAUUUUGUAUUAAAUAUUAAGAAGUCAACAUGAAGAAAAUAUAUCACGUUAAAAUGCUGUCAACUACAAGAAUUAUCAGUAUGUGCAACAUGAUAAUAUUGGGAUUUACAACGAGCUUGUUUUCGAUAAAAUACAUAUCAUCGAAAACGGAAAUUGAUUUUUAUAUCUUCAUUCAAUACUUGAAUCCGUUUGGUUCAAUUUGGUUGCAUCUUUUUAUUACGUCCAAUUCAACAAAUAUAACUAUAAAUAUCAUCCCCAUGUAUAUGUAUUUUUUCUUCGCAAUAUUGUUUUCCAUAGCCAAUAUGUAUCUGAUGAUAGCACCAUAUUUUAGAAAACCUACGUAUACUAUUCCCUGGCUAGUCAUACAAACAAUAAGCAUAAUAAAUCAAAGUGUGUCAUUCAUUCUUUCCUUUGUGCAAAAUUUAUCACGAACAGAACCAUCAUUUUUUAUUUAUUCAGAAAUUUGGUUUUUUCCAAUGUCAGGUUUAUACCUUAUAUUUUCUAUAUAUUCAUGGUCUAUUGUGAAUGAUACUCGGAAAAAAUGGAUAAAAGAGCAAUCUAAUCAUCGUGGAUUCUUCACAGUCAAUAACACAAAUGACAUCAAUGAUGCAAGUUAAUAAUGAUUAUGGACAAAACUGGUAAUCAUUUCCUUCUGUUUCUUACAACAUGGAGAAACUCAAUUAUAUAAGUUUGGAAUGUUGUUCCAGAAACGAACAAAGGCGGGAAAUCGCAUUCUUUUCGAAUUUCUUUGCAUCGAAACGGGGGCGGCACGUGCUCGUCCUUCUUCCCCUUUUCUGAGAGAUGGAUGGACAACGGGAACGGGAA